rnacentral:misc_RNA from 1 species
CUGGCUUACCUUUUCAGUCUUGUGUCAUUGCUUGUAUCGCAUUGAAUGCAUGGUGGGUUUCUUGUGUUGCAUGCCUAAUUGAUGGUAUCAUUUGAAGAAUUGAUGUCCCUUUUCAUCCUGUGUCGCACAUGCGAUGUGAGAUGAACCUUGAAGUAGCCUUUGUGAUCCACUCUUUCGAUGUACACGCAUUGAUUUUGUGGCCCACUGUGCGUUGCUUGGUCUCAUGGAUAUGGAACCUGGUGUGGGCAUGGGAUCUUUACUAGUUCCUUGUUUGCCCUGGUUUAGCUUUUCUAAUACGAUUGUUUAUCACAUUUUAAUGUGGUAGGCUAUAUCGGAUAUGAAUGCUACCUGGUUGAUCCUGCC